AUGUUGGGUUAAGUCCGGCAACGAGCGCAACCACGAUCCUUAGUUGCCAGCAGUUCGGCUGGGCACUCUAGGGAAACUGCCCGGUGAUAAGCGGGAGGAAGGUGUGGAUGACGUCAAGUCCUCAUGGCCCUUACGGGUUGGGCUACACACGUGCUACAAUGGC
rnacentral:rRNA from 1 species